GUGCUUCGUGUAGAACAUCGCCGUCAUAGAUACUUCGCUCUUGUGAAGCGCUUUAUGACGGUGACGUUCUACACGAAGUGAC